rnacentral:rRNA from 1 species
UACGUAGGGGGCAAGCGUUGUCCGGAAUUACUGGGCGUAAAGCGCGCGUAGGCGGAUUAUUAAGUCAGAUGUGAAACUCUGGGCUCAACCUGGAGAUUGCAUCUGAAACUGGUAGUCUUGAGUGUAGAAGAGGAGAGUGGAAUUCCCAGUGUAGCGGUGAAAUGCGUAGAUAUUAGGAGGAACACCAGUGGCGAAGGCGACUCUCUGGUCUAUAACUGACGCUGAGGCGCGAAAGCGUGGGGAGCAAACAGGAUUAGA